rnacentral:rRNA from 1 species
GAUACCCUAUUAUUUUAGAUGUUAUUAGUUUUCUAUAAUUAUUAUUAGUUAAGUUCUUUAAAAUUAAACAAUUUGGCGGUAUUUUAGUCUAUUCAGAGGAACCUGUUUUUUAAUUGAUGGUCCACGAUAAUUUUUACUUUGGCUUUAAAUUUAUAUAUCGUCGUUGUUAAAAAUUUUGGGAGGACUAUAAUUUUUAGGAUUUUUUAUUCAGGAUAAAUUCAGAUCAAGGUGUAGUUUAUGCUUAAGUUAAAAUGGGUUACAUUUCAUUUAUGAUUGGUUCUUUUUUUUAAAUUUUUUGAUAAAUUGGAUUUGAAAGUAA